rnacentral:rRNA from 1 species
UGUAAGCGUAUACCAAAGUUGUUGCAGUUAAAACGCUCGUAGGCGGAAUUUGGCAGUUCCGGAUGUGUGCACGUCGUGUGCGCACUUCGCGGGGAUUGCUUUUGUGGUCUUGCGUAGGAUGAGGCACUUUUAUUAGUGAACGUCCUCACGCAACCACUUUUUACUGUGAGAAAAUCAGAGUGCUCAAAGCAGGCAUUUGCCGUGAAUGUAUUAGCAUGGAAUAAUAGAAUAGGACUUGGUUCUAUUUUGUUGGUUUGUUGGGACUGAGUAAUGAUUAAGAGGGACAGUUGGGGGCAUUUGUAUUUCGGUGCUAGAGGUGAAAUUCUUAGAUUACCGAAAGACAAACUGCUGCGAAAGCGUCUGCCAAGGAUGUUUUCAUUGA